GGAGAGGUGACAGAGUGGCCGAUUGUGACGGUCUCGAAAACCGUUGUACGUGCAAGCGUACCGUGGGUUCGAAUCCCACCCUCUCCGCCA
rnacentral:tRNA from 1 species